AGUUUACAGACAAUCUUCGGACAACUAAAGUUCUGUCAACUAAAGAUAGUUAACAGAACUUUAGUUGUCCGAAGAUUGUCUGUAAACUCAGGCAUG